UACGGGGGGUGCGAGCGUUGUCCGGAAUCACUGGGCGUAAAGGGCGCGUAGGUGGUCUGAUAAGGGUGUGGUGAAAGCCCGGGGCUCAACCCCGGGUCGGCCGUGCCGACUGUUAGACUAGAGUACUGUAGGGGCAGGCGGAAUUCCGGGUGUAGCGGUGGAAUGCGUAGAGAUCCGGAGGAAGACCGGUGGCGAAGGCGGCCUGCUGGGCAGUUACUGACACUGAGGCGCGACAGCGUGGGGAGCAAACAGG
rnacentral:rRNA from 1 species